rnacentral:rRNA from 1 species
AGCGACUAAUCGCAUACGGUGGAUGCCUUGGCAGUUAGAGGCGAUGAAGGACGUAGGAGCCUGCGAUAAGCUUCGGGGAGUUGGCAAACAAACUUUGAUCCGGAGAUUUCCGAAUGGGGAAACCCACCUGCUAUAAAGCGGGUAUCAUGCACUGAAUACAUAGGUGUAUGAGGCGAACCUGGGGAACUGAAACAUCUAAGUACCCAGAGGAAAAGAAAUCAAUUGAGAUUCCGUUAGUAGUGGCGAGCGAACGCGGAAUAGGCCAGUAGUUUUGUUAGAAAAAUUUGAAUAGUUUGGAAAUGCUAACCAUAGAGGGUGAUAGUCCCGUAUGAGUAAUGUCUAACAAAAUUCUUGAGUAAAGCGGGACACGAGAAAUCCUGCUCGAAUAUAGGGGGACCACCCUCUAAGCCUAAAUACUCUUCAGUGACCGAUAGUGAACUAGUACCGUGAGGGAAAGGUGAAAAGAACCCCUAUUAGGGGAGUGAAAUAGAACCUGAAACUGCAUGCCUACAAUCAGUCCGAGCCCUUUUUAGGGUGAGGGCGUACCUUUUGUAUAAUGGGUCAGUGACUUAAUUUAUUAAGCAAGCUUAAGCCAUCUAGGUGUAGGCGUAGCGAAAGCAAGUCUUAAUAGGGCGAUUAGUUUAAUGAAUUAGACCCGAAAACGAAUGAGCUUACCAUGAGCAGGUUGAAAGUUGGGUAACACCAACCGGAGGACCGAACCAGUUGACGUUGAAAAGUCUUUGGAUGACUUGUGGUAAGGGGUGAAAGGCCAACCAAAUUCGUAGAUAGCUGGUUUUCCGCGAAAACUAUUUAGGUAGUGCGUCGAAUAAAUAGAUGUUUAGAGGUAGAGCACUAAAUGGGCUAGGGGGAAGAGAUUCUUACCAAACCUAAUAAAACUCCGAAUGCUAGACAUUGUUCUUCGGCAGACAGACUGUGGGUGCUAAGGUCCAUGGUCGAGAGGGAAAGAGCCCAGACCACCAGAUAAGGUCCCAAAAUCAUGAUUAAGUGUGAAAGGAUGUGGAAAUUCCUUAACAGCCGGGAGGUUGGCUUAGAAGCAGCCAUCCUUUAAAGAUAGCGUAACAGCUCACCGGUCUAAUAGAGUUUCUGCGCCGAAGAUGUAACGGGGCUAAAAUCAUGUACCGAAUCUGUGGCUUUGCAAAGUUUUCGAACUUUGUAAGGGGUAGCGGAACGUUCUGUAAGCCUGCGAAGGGAUACCCGUGAGGGAUCCUGGAGGUAUCAGAAGUGCGAAUGCUGACAUAAGUAACGAUAAACGAAGUGAAAAACUUCGUCGCCGAAAAUCUAAGGGUUUCUAUGCAAGGUUAAUCCGCGUAGAGUUAGUCGGCACCUAAGGCGAGGGCGAAAGCCGUAGUCGAUGGAAACAAGGUUAAUAUUCCUUGACCUGAUGGUAGUGACGGAUUUCGUAAGUUGUGAGUUCUUAAUGGAUUGAACUUGCCGCGAAGGGGUCCCAAGAAAUAGCUCCAUCAUGAAGACCGUACCCGAAACCGACACAGGUAGAUUAAUAGAGUAUAUUUAGGCGCUUGAGAGAAUGAUGUUGAAGGAACUCGGCAAAAUGCUUCCGUAACUUCGGGAUAAGGAAGACCCUUUUGUAGGCAACUAUGGAAGGGUGGCACAAGCCAGGGAGAAGCGACUGUUUAUCAAAAACACAGGGCUCUGCUAACACGUAAGUGGAUGUAUAGGGUCUGACGCCUGCCCGGUGCUGGAAGGUUAAUGCGGUUGGUGCAAGCUAACUUCUGAAGCCCCAGUAAACGGCGGCCGUAACUAUAACGGUCCUAAGGUAGCGAAAUUCCUUGACGGGUAAGUUCCGUCCUGCAUGAAUGGCGUAACGAUUUCUCCGCUGUCUCCAACAUCAACUCAGUGAAAUUGAAUUCUCCGUGAAGAUGCGGAGUUCCCGUGGUUAGACGGAAAGACCCCGUGCACCUUUACUACAACUUUAUAUUGGUGUUAGGAAUGACAUAUUUAGCUUAGGAGGGAGACUUUGAAGUUUUGGCGCCAGCCAAGAUGGAGUCACCAGUGAAAUACCUCUUUUGUUAUUCUUGACAUCUAACUGCUAGCCGUAAUCCGGCAGCAAGACAUUGUAUGGUGGGUAGUUUGACUGGGGCGGUCGCCUCCCAAAAAGUAACGGAGGCGUGCGAAGGUAGGCUCAGAACGGUCAGAAAUCGUUCGUAGAGUGCAAUGGCAUAAGCCUGCCUGACUGCAAGACUGACAAGUCGAGCAGAGACGAAAGUCGGU